UGACCGUGGCGGAUUACGCCAACUCGGAUCCGGCGGUCGUGAGGUCUGGACGAGUCAAGAAAGCCGUAGCCAACGCUGUUCAGCAGGAAGUAAAAUCUCUUUGUGGCUUGGAAGCCUCUCAGGUUCCUGCAGAGGAAGCUCUUUCUGGGGCUGGUGAGCCCUGUGACAUCAUCGACAGCAGUGAUGAGAUGGAGGCCCAGGAGGAAAGCAUCCAUGAGAGAACUGUCUCCAGAAAAAAGAAAAGUAAGAGACACAAAGAAGAACUGGAUGGUGCUGGAGAAGAGUAUCCCAUGGAUAUUUGGCUAUUGCUGGCCUCCUAUAUCCGUCCUGAGGACAUUGUGAAUUUUUCCCUGAUUUGUAAGAAUGCCUGGACUGUCACUUGCACUGCUGCCUUUUGGACCAGGUUGUACCGAAGGCACUACACGCUGGAUGCUUCCCUGCCUUUGCGUCUGCGACCAGAGUCAAUGGAGAAGCUGCGCUGUCUCCGGGCUUGUGUGAUCCGAUCUCUGUACCAUAUGUAUGAGCCAUUUGCUGCUCGAAUCUCCAAGAAUCCAGCCAUUCCAGAAAGCACCCCCAGCACAUUAAAGAAUUCCAAAUAGCAUAGCUUGUGUGGGACACUGGAGCCGUUGUGAUGGCAGCAGAAGUGUUUUCCCCUUAAAGCCAAGCCCAUUAAUUUUGAUGGAACAGCAGGACGUACAGGGCAUGUCUGAAGGGCAGGACAGCUGGCACGGCGGACGACCCACCCCUUAUCCCCUGGGAG
rnacentral:sRNA from 1 species